UAAGGAAUAUUGCUCAAUGGGAGAAAUCCUGAAGCAGCAACGCCGCGUGGAGGAUGAAGGGUCUAUGACUUGGAAACUCCUGUAAAGAAGGAAAAAAUUCCCAUUAGAUGGGAGAUGCUGGUACUUCUGGAGUAAGCCCCGGCUAACUACGUGCCAGCAGCCGCGGUAAUACGUAGGGGGCAAGCGUUGUCCGGAUUUACUGGGUGUAAAGGGUGCUCAGGCGGAUUUGUAAGUCAGAGGUGAAAUCUUACAGCUUAACUGUGAACCUGCCUUUGAUGCUGCAAGCCUAGAGUAUGGCAGAGAGUGAUGGAAUAUCUGGUGUAGCAGUGAAAUGCGUAGAUAUCAGAUAGA
rnacentral:rRNA from 1 species